rnacentral:lncRNA from 1 species
AUUGCUCACCCCAUCCUCCAACAGUAGCAGAGCCCCAGCUGGCCUUUUCUUUGUCUCCAGGAGCAGCGGCUCCAGGAAGCACUGUGCGAGUUCUCAGUGGGCUCGUUCAUAUGUAGUGGAAGGUCCGGGAGGAGGACAGAGAACAGACUCUGUUGAUGGCAGCUCACGGCCUUCAUGCAGGCAAGAAAGACUGGUACCAGGCAGCAGGAGAAGAUAUGGAAAUCUGAGUUUUCUAGACUUAGGAGGCUGCGGUUGUGGCCAGGUGUGACAGAGCUGGGCCCGCUGAAGGUGUUUUAUACUAUUCUAGAUUCACACCACCUGUGCUAGGAACCUUCCAAUGUAACUGAUGAUGGAUGUUUACCCUCCAAAGGCUGCUUCCUCAUUUGUAUUGAGUUUGUGGUUUGAAUUCUUUGGUGGAGAGUUAAAAUCCCUAAUUGAUAAUGAAUGACAAUUCCUGCCAAAUGAAACUCAUCACUCCGUGUAAGACAUCCCCUACCUCCCCCACUGACCGGACCCAUCUAGAUGUUUCAGUCUUGCAGCAACAACUCAUUCUCAGGCCGGAGAUUGGAGAUGGCUACAGUCUUCUCGCACAUUGCCAACCCAACAAGACUGGCUUCUGGAGAGUGUCAGGAGGGGGAGGAAUCCGGAGAAAAAUGCUAAGUGCUGGAAUCUGUGAUAAAGUCAGUAGAAUGUGAAGCAUUUGGAAUCAAAACAUUUGCCAGAAUUAUCCUCUGAUCCCCUGGAGAAUUUUCUGUAUGGAUAUAACAGACUAGUAUGUAAUUCCUGCAGGAGCAAUUAUUAUUUUCAUCUUUAUAAUAUUUAUGGAAAACUAUGCAUUCACAGCACUGAACUGAAAGCUCUCCAU